rnacentral:rRNA from 1 species
GGUUAAGUGACUAAGCGUACAUGGUGGAUGCCUUGGCAGUCAGAGGCGAUGAAGGACGUACUAACCUGCGAUAAGCCGUGAGCAGUCGGUAAGAGACAUUACGACUCACGGAUUUCCGAAUGGGGAAACCCACUUAGCAUAAGCUAGGUAUCGCUGCGUGAAUACAUAGCGUAGCGAGGCGAACCGGGAGAACUGAAACAUCUAAGUACCCUGAGGAAAAGAAAUCAACCGAGAUUCCCUCAGUAGCGGCGAGCGAACGGGGAUUAGCCCUUAAGCAUCUUGGAAGUUAGUGGAACGGUCCUGGA